rnacentral:rRNA from 1 species
UACGUAGGUGGCGAGCGUUGUCCGGAUUUACUGGGCGUAAAGAGCGCGCAGGCGGUCGUUCAAGUCGGAUGUGAAAGCCCCCGGCUCAACUGGGGAGGGUCAUUCGAUACUGAUCGACUCGAAGGCAGGAGAGGGAAGCGGAAUUCCCGGUGUAGUGGUGAAAUGCGUAGAUAUCGGGAGGAACACCUAUGGCGAAGGCAGCUCGCUGGGACGUUACUGACGCUGAGACGCGAAAGCGUGGGGAGCGAACAGG